AUACAGAGGGUGCAAGCGUUAAUCGGAAUCACUGGGCGUAGAGGGUCUGUAGGCGGUUUGGCAAGUUGGUUGUGAAAUCUCCCGGCUUAACUGGGAGCGUGCGACCAAAACUGCUGAACUGGAGGAUCGGAGAGGCAGGUAGAAUUCCUGGUGUAGCGGUGAAAUGCGUAGAGAUCAGGAGGAAUACCGGUGGCGAAGGCGGCCUGCUGGACGAUACCUGACGCUGAAAGACGAAAGCUGGGGGAGCAAACAGGAUUAGAAACCCCGGUAGUCC
rnacentral:rRNA from 1 species